AAGGAUUUAAGUUAUACUAAACUAGUAACCUUCAAAGUUAAAAAAGAAAAUUUUUCAAGCCUUA
rnacentral:tRNA from 1 species